AGUCUAGUAUAAUAAAGUUGUUUUGAUAGAAGACCAAAGUAUUAUUGUAAGUUUACAUUUUGAACAUAAAAUAUCAAGGAUGGCUGCCUUAGAUGAUUUGCCACAAGUAACUUCGUUUUUUGGAAUCGAUUUGAGGACAGGAUCUAUGAUAAUAGCGGCGUUAGGAAUCGUACACCCAAUGGCGUAUGGAUGUUCAAUUUUCAUACCAAUAAGUUAUCUACUGGUUACGAUUUGGAUCUUAGUAGCAUUAUACUUUGCUAUUAGCAUAGUUCUUCUGUUUGGACUCCAGCAGGGUGAUGCAGCGUUGUGUGGAAUAUGGGUUUGGUACUCUGUGGUCUUCGUGGUGAUAAUGUUGAUGAUGAUGAUCCUACUUGCCUUAGUGUUUACGUCCAGAAAGCAAAGGAGUCGGGUAUUUGUGGUCAUCCUGGGAAUGCUUUGGUAUAUUCUGACGAUAUAUUUCAUUCUUGUUGUGAACAGUCAUCGGAAAGAACUAUUGGGGUUAUAAGAAGACACAAAGAGUUUCUAGUAUAUGUGUAUUUUGGAAAUAAAUUGUGAUAUUCUUUCAAA